rnacentral:rRNA from 1 species
UACGUAGGUGGCAAGCGUUGUCCGGAUUUACUGGGUGUAAAGGGCGUGCAGCCGGGCUGACAAGUUAGAUGUGAAAUCCGGGGGCUCAACCCCCGAACUGCAUUUGAAACUGUUGGUCUUGAGUAUCGGAGAGGCAGGCGGAAUCCCUAGUGUAGCGGUGAAAUGCGUAGAUAUUAGGAAGAACACCAGUGGCGAAGGCGGCUUGCUGGACAGUAACUGACGUUGAGGCUCGAAAGCGUGGGGAGCAAACAGG